GAGUUUGAUCCUGGCUCAGGAUGAACGCUAGCGGCAGGCCUAACACAUGCAAGUCGAGGGGCAGCGCGUGAAGUAGCAAUACUUCUGGCGGCGACCGGCGCACGGGUGCGUAACACGUAUGCAACCUACCCAUAACCGAGGGAUAGUCCGGGGAAACCUGGUGUAAUACCUCAUAAUACUUAGAGAGGCAUCUCGAAGAGUUAAAAAUUUCGAUGGUUAUAGAUGGGCAUGCGUUGUAUUAGGUAGUUGGUAGGGUAACGGCCUACCAAGCCUACGAUACAUAGGGGAACUGAGAGGUUAAUCCCCCACACUGGUACUGAGACACGGACCAGACUCCU
rnacentral:rRNA from 1 species